rnacentral:tRNA from 1 species
AGUUCCUUAACUCAAUUGAAUAGAGUAACACACUUCUAAUGUGUAAGUUAUGGGUUUGAAUCCCAUAGGAACUA